rnacentral:snRNA from 2 species
AUACCUUUCUCGGCCUUUUGGCUAAGAUCAAGUGUAGUAUCUGUUCUUAUCAGUUUAAUAUCUGAUAUGUGGGCCAUCGGUCCACUUGAUAUUAAUCUUAUUUUUUAUGGGGAAAGACCCAUCACAAUAGCUUGCUAUUGGGGCCUUUGAGCGUCGCCUUGGUGUUGCACUACUGCCUUGGCCUGGCGCACCCCUC